UCUCUCUGUAGCUCAGUUGGUUAGAGCACUGCACCGGAGUCGCAGGGCCGCAGGUUUAAUUCCUGCCAGAGGAC
rnacentral:tRNA from 1 species